rnacentral:tRNA from 1 species
GGUUAGCUGAGUCGGUUAGAGCAUCAGACUGAUAAUCCGAGGGUCACCAGUUCAAGCCUAGUCC